GACUUGAGGAGCAGGGUGGGGGGUGGGGGGCUUUCUCUUGCGUGGGUUUUAGAAGGUCCUCUCUCUGCAAGGUUCCUCUGAGUCUGAGCUCCCUGAAAUGCGCUGUGCUGCUGGGAACUGUAGCUUUGAGGUGUUGCUUCAGUUGGGGGCGUGCAUGGCCCGGUGUCCCCGCGGCCUCUGGCUCUGCGCACAGACUGGCGGUGUGUGCUCCCAGCGCUGUCUGCGCUGUGCGAGCCAAGUGAAUGAGAAGUGGGGCGGGCGGGGAGGAGGGAGAGAAGGGGGGGUGGUUAAGGCGGGGUGUGCGGAGGGUGGGUAGAGCCGAGGAGUAAUGGAGAGGCUGCGGGCUGGGUUAAAUGGGAGCGUGUGGGUGGGUUGGAGCUACGUGUUCUAUCCUGUGACUCCAGGCACGUCUGGCCGCUGCCGGGGAGGGAAGGAGCGACCUGCCCGCCCUCCCCCUGCUGCAUCACAUGAGUCUCACGUGUUGGACAACGCUCUGGCAGCUGCGAGGGAGCCCCCACCCCCCCAACCCCGGCCCCCAGGUGUCUGCGGCUGCGGCCUCCUUUCCCCGAAAGAGGGGGUGGCAGUGUGGCCUGGGUCCUGCCCAGCUGGGUGGGGGGCGCGGAAGCUGGAAGGAACCAGAGAAUGGCGGGGGGGGGGCGGAUGGGGAGAGGUGGUAACGUGGGCGAACCUGCCCCAGGGAAAUGAAGUAAGUUCCCGUCUCCUGGGAGGGAACGGGGGAGGACGGAUCCGCCCGCGUCUGACUCAAGCCGGGAGAGGAAUAUCCCCUCGCUCGCUCCAGCCCAGCCCUCUUCCUCCUCCCCCGCCCAGCCCGCUCCGUGGAGCCGGCGCGCAGCGGAGAGAAUCGCCGGCCCCCUGCCUUCCCCAGAGGCUGGGGUUUCUUUCUGUCCCGGCGUCCCUGCCCCCACCGUUCAGCCCCGCGUCCAGGAAUUGCCCGCCUUGGGGAGGGACCGAGGGCGGGGCGGAUGUCACCCCAUGGGAAGCCGGCGGGCGGCCAAGCGCCGGGGCAGCCGAGGCCGCGGCGGAGCAGGGCCGAGCACGCUGCGCGCACCUGACCGGGAGGGUCCGACACGACACAUUUGUUUGUUGAGCCCCUCAGGCAAGGGAGGUGCUCUUCGCUAGGCGACACGGUGGCUCAAACAACGACCCCUUCUCUUGAACUUCGAGGAACCUCUGGGAAGGACAGAUUGGGCCUCGAGGAAGGCAGCCCUGGAAAAAUAUAUCGGGGCCAUUGGCUGGCUGGUAGAGGAAAAAACGAGUUUUUAGUGUCGUUUUGAAUGUAAUACUAACCUGCACGCUUAGAUAGAAGGCCAGGGGACCCCAGCAGUGAACCUGCAGCCCCAGGCCUGGGGCAGAAAGGCCUCCUCCAGUGGACCCAGAUUCUUGCUGCAAUCUCCCUUAGGCCGCCAGAAACCCUCCUCCUCGGAAAAGUCCGGUUUCUGUGACCUUCUAACUCGGAUUCCAUGGAGCAGGGAAAACAGCUGAAACUCCAAUCCUGAGCUGUGAGCAGCGCUGUUACAGUCAGAGGAGCGAGCCAGUGGAAAUUCAUGACUAAAAUAAGGCCUGGCUGGGGAUUUCACUGACCUCCGCGCUCCCCUGCCCUGGCAGUUCGGGGAGUUGAGAGAUGACUGUAAACCUUUCCCACCGGGCUGGGUCAGUCACCCCGCUGCUGAGUGACCUGGCUGUGAGAAGGACUGAAAACAAAUGGACUCAGGGUCACCACGGGACCGGGUGAGAAUUCAUGUCUGGUGCAGUUUGGGAGUCAGUAUUAACAUGCAGAGUCCUUGACGACCUCAGGAGUUGGGAUUCACAGGUUGACCAAACUGGGAGUGUAUUUCCUUCAGGUUGCUUUGGAAAGCUUCCACUUCCUGUUUAUGUUUCACAAGCGUCAAACCUAUUAGCAAGUGUGAGAAAUGCCUCCUCAAUUGCUGACUGGGGUGACCUCACUUCUAGCUUAGAGAUCCCUCCUCCCAGAAUGUACUUUUGUUGGUUUUAUUAUCGGCCAUCUCUCAGGAGGGAAAUAAACCCAUCCAUCGAACUCUCCAUGGCAAGUUCAGGAACAUGGGCAGCCGGAUCAGAAUCAGAGGUGGAGGGGAUGGAUCACCCCUCCCCCAUGUGCUCUCAAUCUAGGUGACCUGCUCCAUUGUGCCACUUUAAUAGUGGAAGUGUUGUCAUGACAGCAUCAAAGCCACAGUACCAUUAGGAAAUCAGCUCCUUACAUUCUGAACAGCCUUACUAUUUUUAGUCCAUCAUCUUUUGUAGACACUUGUUUAGUAUUUACUGUGCACUAGUGUUUAGGCCAUAUGUGAAAAAUUUCACCUAUGUUUAUUUACCCCUCCGUACCACUUUAUAAGGUUGGUACUAGUAUUAGCUCAGUCCAUUUAGCAGAUACAUUUCUUGAGAAUCACAAUGUGCAUGUGCUAAGUUGGGACUUUAGGGAUAUAUAAUUUAUCCCCUUUGGAAAACUGAUGCUCAAGGAGGAUAAUUAGCCUGCCUGAGUUCAUAUAGCCUGGGAUUAGAUCUGAGAAAAGACCCUAGGUGUAUGGAACUCCAAAUCUUGUGCUCUUAAACGUCAUACAGUACUUGAAGCUGCCUGGUAGGACUCUAUUAGUUGUGUAGUGAUCAACUCAAGGGGGAGCCCUUCACAUUGCAGUCUGUGCUAGAGACCCUUAGCCUUGUAACAGUGCAGUACAGAGCAGCUGCACUGGCUCGUUCUGUCAUCGUAUAGCUCGCCCCUUAUAGAGUGUUCCUUCUACGUAUGGAGAAAACAAUUUUAUACAACGGGAGAGGGAAAUGUUUUUGUUUGUUUUUGGUUUUGUUUUUCCUUUUCCAGUGGGGCUCAGCCUAACAUUAUGUGUUGGAAAGAGCCUAUAGUACUGCUAUGUCUAGUGAGUCCCACUCUUUCUGUGCAGGAAGUUCUCUGUGCCAUAUGAACACCUUCCUUGCUGGAGAUCAUUUUGUGCCUGGCUAUGGAGCCUCAAACAUUUUUUAUCAUAGCUCACAGCAAGAAAUGAAUUUUAUCAUGAUCUAUGAGGUGUGUGUAUGCAUGUGAGAGCGUGCACAUGCAUAUCUUAAGUACAUUUGAGCUAGGGCAAUGAAAGCUUGGUUGGGUUAGCUGUAAGCCAUCGCCACCUUCUCAGCUGUGAUCUUGAAUAACCAUUGCUCACUCAAAAAGAAAUUAAACCAUUCAGGAAGAGGUCAGUCCAAUACAUUUCAGACAAAAACCUCACAAAACAGCACUUCCCCCUAGUUUGUAAUAUUCUAAUAUUUUCUUGUCUACACUAGUCUCUGUUAAAAAAAUAUUCUGGUAUUGAAUUACUAAAUUGAUUUUACAAAUCACUAAUGGAUAAAUUUACAAUUUGAAAAUGUGAUUUAUGAUAGUGUUGUCAUUUGGCCUUGACUCUACCAGAAAGACAUCUGUACACUUGAAGAUCUUCCAAACCAAAUAUAAAAAUGUUAGGUAGGAUUGCUUCUCCUUGUUAGGUUCAAUGGCACACAUAUCUCUGUUAAUUUCUAUCCUUUGUUCUUUGUAUACGGUCACCUUGCUCCUUCUCUGCAUGUACAAAAACAAGUGUAUUUAAUUGUUUUAUUGCAAGAUAAACACGAUAAAAUUAAUAGAUCUUAAAUGUUUGGUUCAUGAAUUUUGGAAAAUGUGUCCAUCUGCUAGUCACUAUUGUUAUGGCUUAGGUCUUAAGUGUUUCCCAAAAGCUUAUGCUAAAUGCUUGGUCACCAGCUCCAGGCAUUUACUGUUUGGAGGCUGUGUGACCUUUGUGAAGCUGCAUCAGCCAGGGAUGGUAGCGUAGAGAGAUGCCAAUUGCCUUUAAUCUUA
rnacentral:lncRNA from 1 species